GACAGAGGAUGCAAGCGUUAUCCGGAAUGAUUGGGCGUAAAGCGUCUGUAGGUGGCUUUUUAAGUCUGCCGUCAAAUCCCAGGGCUUAACCCUGGACAGGCGGUGGAAACUACCAAGCUGGAGUACGGUAGGGGCAGAGGGAAUUCCUGGUGUAGCGGUGAAAUGCGUAGAGAUCAGGAAGAACACCGGUGGCGAAAGCGCUCUGCUAGGCCGCAACUGACACUGAGGGACGAAAGCUAGGGGAGCGAAUGGG
rnacentral:rRNA from 1 species